rnacentral:rRNA from 1 species
UACGUAGGCAGCGAGCGUUGUUCGGAAUUACUGGGCGUAAAGAGUGUGUAGGCGGUGCUAUAAGUUCGGUGUGAAAUCUCCCGGCUCAACUGGGAGGGGUCGCCGAAGACUGUAGUGCUCGAACAUGGGAGAGGAAAGCGGAAUUCCUGGUGUAGCGGUGAAAUGCGUAGAUAUCAGGAGGAACACCUGCGGUGUAGACGGCUUUCUGGACCAUUGUUGACGCUGAGACACGAAAGCGUGGGUAGCAAACAGG